UAUGUAGAUGCCUACAACAUAGCAUUAAUGCACCUGAUACCAUUAUAACUCCACAGUUAAGCGUGCUCGAGCUAGAGUAGUAUUGGGAUCGAUGAUCGCCCGAGAAGUCCUAGUAUUUUACAUGC
rnacentral:rRNA from 1 species